GAUGAACGCUGGCGGCGUGCCUAAUACAUGCAAGUCGAGCGAACGGACGAUAAGCUUGCUUUUCUGAUGUUAGCGGCGGACGGGUGAGUAACACGUGGAUAACCUACCUAUAAGACUGGGAUAACUUCGGGAAACCGGAGCUAAUACCGGAUAAUAUUUUGAACCGCAUGGUUCAAAAGUGAAAGACGGUCUUGCUGUCACUUAUAGAUGGAUCCGCGCUGCAUUAGCUAGUUGGUAAGGUAACGGCUUACCAAGGCAACGAUGCAUAGCCGACCUGAGAGGGUGAUCGGCCACACUGGAACUGAGACACGGUCCAGACUCCUACGGGAGGCAGCAGUAGGGAACCUUCCGCAAUGGGCGAAAGCCUGACGGAGCAACGCCGCGUGAGUGAUGAAGGUCUUCGGAUCGUAAAACUCUGUUAUUAGGGAAGAACAUAUGUGUAAGUAACUGUGCACAUCUUGACGGUACCUAAUCAGAAAGCCACGGCUAACUACGUG
rnacentral:rRNA from 1 species